CACGUAGGGCGCAAGCGUUGUCCGGAAUUAUUGGGCGUAAAGAGCUCGUAGGCGGUCUGUUGCGUCCGCUGUGAAAACCCGGGGCUUAACCCUGGGCUGGCAGUGGAUACGGACAGGCUAGAGUUCGGUAGGGGAGACUGGAAUUCCUGGUGUAGCGGUGAAAUGCGCAGAUAUCAGGAGGAACACCGGUGGCGAAGGCGGGUCUCUGGGCCGAUACUGACGCUGAGGAGCGAAAGCGUGGGGAGCGAACAGG
rnacentral:rRNA from 1 species